UUUGUUUUAAAUGAAAAAGGUAAAAUCGACCCUUAUUCUUUUGCUUAUCAAGGUAAGAUGCUUGAAACCUUUGAAACACUUUUGUACUCCUCGGAUAGUGACAAAGAUCGUGUUGAUGAACACUUAGAUCGAAACGUGCUUGACUGUCCUAUUUUAUUUAUUGAUGAUAAAUCUAUUUUGAUGGUUGAUAAAAAGAUUCUUGUUUUUGAUAAUGCAUGUGUGAGUGAAUCUAUAGACCGUCGAUUAAGGCAUGGUAAUCUGAAUCUAUCCAUUCACAUGCGUUAUACCUGUUCUAUUAUGCUUAUAAUUGGACUACAAGCUUGUUUGCGUUGCUAUUUACUAUUUCAUGGCUAUUCUUUUCAGUGGACUCAAUUGCC
rnacentral:lncRNA from 1 species